GUCUACGGCCAUAUCACCCUGAACACACCCGAUCUUGUCUGAUUUCGGAAGCUAAGCAGGGUCGCGUCUGGUUAGUACUUGGACAAGAGACAUGAUGGGCAAGAAAACCACAGCAGUGAUGCCGUGUUCU
ensembl:rRNA 5S_rRNA 5S ribosomal RNA